rnacentral:lncRNA from 1 species
GUUUUUGUUCUUUUCCUUUACAUGCGCUGACCGCGGCCACAUGAGAAGACACGAUACUGAGAGUGGUGCAUCAUUCCCCGGCUGUCGUCACAAGUGCUCCGCCUGAUAUCGCUAAGCUAAGCGAUACACGAACUCCUGUGUGCUGGUCACCACUGCGGCCGCGCGUGCGCGUUUGAAAGCGGCGCGCGUUGCUGCUGGAGGCCGUCCAGGUGCGACGAGACAUCAACUGACUGCUGCGCACGGCGACAGAGGGCGACUGCAGGCGACGGAACUGAAGUGCCGUUCACGCACAAGGCCCUUCCUUCGCGCC